rnacentral:rRNA from 1 species
CCAGACUCCUACGGGAGGCAGCAGUGGGGAAUAUUGCACAAUGGGGGGAACCCUGAUGCAGCGACGCCGCGUGAGCGAAGAAGUACCUCGGUAUGUAAAGCUCUAUCAGCAGGGAAGAAGAUGACGGUACCUGACCAAGAAGCUCCGGCUAAAUACGUGCCAGCAGCCGCGGUAAUACGUAUGGAGCAAGCGUUAUCCGGAUUUACUGGGUGUAAAGGGAGCGCAGGCGGCCUUGCAAGUCUGAUGUGAAAGCCCGGGGCCCAACCCCGGGACUGCUCUUGGAACUGUGCGGCUAGAGUGCGGGAGGGGCAGGCGGAAUUCCUGGUGUAGCGGUGAAAUGCGUAGAUAUCAGGAGGAACACCGGCGGCGAAGGCGGCCUGCUGGACCGCGACUGACGUUGAGGCUCGAAAGCGUGGGGAGCGAACAGGAUUAGAUACCCCAGUAAA